CCAAGGCAAACUUUUUCCUUGCGAAAUAAUGGUCAGCGGUAUUAUUUCGCACGGAGGCUCGCGAAAUUUUGACAGAAAUUCAAUAUUUCGAAUUUGAAUGAUCGAACACCAACAACAUAAUAUGGUAAUCACCCAGCAAGAGAACGCAGUGAUAAUGGGCCAACAGAAACCACAACAUCAAGAUGCUCGGAAAGGACUUUCUCUUUCGAACAAACAAUGGCACGUCAUGUUCAAUCGGCUAACCGUUUGGAAUAAGCGCUCAUCAUCGGUUUCAUGGCAGGGAAGUGAGCAGGUAAAAGAAGGCAUCGUUUUUUCCGCAAGGUCGCUCUGGUCAAAAUUUCAGCGGAUUGCAAGGAAUAAACCACCCGAGGGACAGUACCCGUGCUGAUUCAGGACGAUUACCCAUACUUUGUACCUUGCUAUUGAAUUUUAAUACCCGAUCGAAACGAUGGCAAGCGCUGCCGAUAACUGGGUCAAAAAGACAACGGAUAAAGAAAUUUUUGCACUCGGUUAGCGAACUGAGUACAUAUCACCAAGGAUAAGGAUUCAGAUCCGGCGGCUGGCAAGAAAGAGAAUGCGGAAAAACCUAGUCCACCGGCAGUAGAAACAAAGCUGCACCUGAUGUUUGGAGUUCGGUAGCUUCGGAAAUUCUAACUCUAGCAGCUCCUGAAGAAAAACAAGCUGCAAGAGAAAAUGGAGAAACAGCUUCCUCCGCGGAAGAUGCAGAGGCAUUCAACCCGGCGGAUGCAAGUUUGCUAAUGAAGGAUGUUCGCUAAGAUCUAGUAGAAUCAAAGCUGGAUCUGAACGUGCAUCGGAAGGAUUCUUCUUCGCCGGUUGAUUGGUUAAAACUUUCGAAGCUUUGCACAUGAAGCCGGAAUUACUUCAGGGAGUCUAUGCGAUGGGUUUCAACGCCCCUUCCAAGAUUCAGGAGAUGGCUCUACCUACUCUGUUGGCCGGUCCGCCAGGGAAUAUAAUCGCCCAGUCAGUCGGGAACAGGAAAAACCGCUGCCUUCGUGCUGGCAACGCUCAGUUGAGUCCAUCAGUUAAAAAACUAUCUGCAGGUGAUUUGCCUUUCCCCCACGUAUGAGCUGGCAAUUCAGAAGGGGGAA